rnacentral:rRNA from 1 species
CAGCCGUAAACUAUGCUCGCUAGGUGUCAGGCAUGGCGCGACCGUGUCUGGUGCCGCAGGGAAGCCGUGAAGCGAGCCACCUGGGAAGUACGGCCGCAAGGCUGAAACUUAAAGGAAUUGGGCGGGGGAGCACCACAACGGGUGGAGCCUGCGGUUUAAUUGGACUCAACGCCGGGAAGCUCACCGGAUAAGACAGCGGAACGAUUGGCCGGGCUGAAGACUCUGCAUGACUAGCUGAGAGGAGGUGCAU